rnacentral:rRNA from 1 species
UACGUAGGGGGGCAAGCGUUGUUCGGAAUUACUGGGCGUAAAGGGCGCGUAGGCGGCACGGCAAGUCAGGAGUGAAAGCCCUGGGCUCAACCCGGGAACUGCUUUUGAAACUGCCGAGCUAGAGUGCGGAAGGGGCAACUGGAAUUCCCAGUGUAGCGGUGAAAUGCGCAGAUAUCAGGAGGAACACCGGUGGCGAAGGCGGGUCUCUGGGCCGAAACUGACGCUGAGGAGCGAAAGCGUGGGGAGCAAACAGG